UACGUAGGGUGCAAGCGUUGUCCGGAAUUAUUGGGCGUAAAGAGCUCGUAGGCGGUCUGUCGCGUCUGCUGUGAAAACUCUGGGCUUAACCCUGAGCUUGCAGUGGGUACGGGCAGACUAGAGUGCGGUAGGGGAGACUGGAAUUCCUGGUGUAGCGGUGAAAUGCGCAGAUAUCAGGAGGAACACCGGUGGCGAAGGCGGGUCUCUGGGCCGUAACUGACGCUGAGGAGCGAAAGCAUGGGGAGCGAACAGG
rnacentral:rRNA from 1 species